rnacentral:rRNA from 1 species
AUUGAACGCUGGCGGCAGGCCUAACACAUGCAAGUCGAGCGGAUGAAGGGAGCUUGCUCCUGGAUUCAGCGGCGGACGGGUGAGUAAUGCCUAGGAAUCUGCCUGGUAGUGGGGGAUAACGUCCGGAAACGGGCGCUAAUACCGCAUACGUCCUGAGGGAGAAAGUGGGGGAUCUUCGGACCUCACGCUAUCAGAUGAGCCUAGGGCGGAUUAGCUAGUUGGUGGGGUAAAGGCCUACCAAGGCGACGAUCCGUAACUGGUCUGAGAGGAUGAUCAGUCACACUGGAACUGAGACACGGUCCAGCCUCCUACGGGAGGCAGCAGUGGGGAAUAUUGGACAAUGGGCGAAAGCCUGAUCCAGCCCUGCCGCGUGUGUGAAGAAGGUCUUCGGAUUGUAAAGCCCUUUAAGUUGGGAGGAAGGGCAGUAAGUUAAUACCUUGCUGUUUUGACGUUACCAACAGAAUAAGCACCGGCUAACUUCGUG